rnacentral:rRNA from 1 species
UACGUAGGGGGGCUAGCGUUGUCCGGAAUCAUUGGGCGUAAAGCGCGUGUAGGCGGUCCGGUAAGUCCGCUGUGAAAGUCGGGGGCUCAACCCUCGAAUGCCGGUGGAUACUGUCGGGCUAGAGUGCGGAAGAGGCGAGUGGAAUUCCUGGUGUAGCGGUGAAAUGCGCAGAUAUCAGGAGGAACACCAAUUGCGAAGGCAGCUCGCUGGGACGUAACUGACGCUGGAGACGCGAAAGCGUGGGGAGCAAACAGG